rnacentral:rRNA from 1 species
AGAGUUUGAUCCUGGCUCAGGACGAACGCUGGCGGCGUGCCUAAUACAUGCAAGUCGAGCGGACAGAAGGGAGCUUGCUCCCGGAUGUUAGCGGCGGACGGGUGAGUAACACGUGGGUAACCUGCCUGUAAGACUGGGAUAACUCCGGGAAACCGGAGCUAAUACCGGAUAGUUCCUUGAACCGCAUGGUUCAAGGAUGAAAGACGGUUUCGGCUGUCACUUACAGAUGGACCCGCGGCGCAUUAGCUAGUUGGUGAGGUAACGGCUCACCAAGGCGACGAUGCGUAGCCGACCUGAGAGGGUGAUCGGCCACACUGGGACUGAGACACGGCCCAGACUCCUACGGGAGGCAGCAGUAGGGAAUCCUUCCGCAAUGGACGAAAGUCUGACGGAGCAACGCCGCGUGAGUGAUGAAGGUUUUCGGAUCGUAAAGCUCUGUUGUUAGGGAAGAACAAGUGCAAGAGUAACUGCUUGCACCUUGACGGUACCUAACCAGAAAGCCACGGCUAACUACGUGCCAGCAGCCGCGGUAAUACGUAGGUGGCAAGCGUUGUCCGGAAUUAUUGGGCGUAAAGGGCUCGCAGGCGGUUUCUUAAGUCUGAUGUGAAAGCCCCCGGCUCAACCGGGGAGGGUCAUUGGAAACUGGGAAACUUGAGUGCAGAAGAGGAGAGUGGAAUUCCACGUGUAGCGGUGAAAUGCGUAGAGAUGUGGAGGAACACCAGUGGCGAAGGCGACUCUCUGGUCUGUAACUGACGCUGAGGAGCGAAAGCGUGGGGAGCGAACAGGAUUAGAUACCCUGGUAGUCCACGCCGUAAACGAUGAGUGCUAAGUGUUAGGGGGUUUCCGCCCCUUAGUGCUGCAGCUAACGCAUUAAGCACUCCGCCUGGGGAGUACGGUCGCAAGACUGAAACUCAAAGGAAUUGACGGGGGCCCGCACAAGCGGUGGAGCAUGUGGUUUAAUUUGAAGCAACGCGAAGAACCUUACCAGGUCUUGACAUCCUCUGACAACCCUAGAGAUAGGGCUUUCCCUUCGGGGACAGAGUGACAGGUGGUGCAUGGUUGUCGUCAGCUCGUGUCGUGAGAUGUUGGGUUAAGUCCCGCAACGAGCGCAACCCUUGAUCUUAGUUGCCAGCAUUCAGUUGGGCACUCUAAGGUGACUGCCGGUGACAAACCGGAGGAAGGUGGGGAUGACGUCAAAUCAUCAUGCCCCUUAUGACCUGGGCUACACACGUGCUACAAUGGACAGAACAAAGGGCUGCGAGACCGCAAGGUUUAGCCAAUCCCACAAAUCUGUUCUCAGUUCGGAUCGCAGUCUGCAACUCGACUGCGUGAAGCUGGAAUCGCUAGUAAUCGCGGAUCAGCAUGCCGCGGUGAAUACGUUCCCGGGCCUUGUACACACCGCCCGUCACACCACGAGAGUUUGCAACACCCGAAGUCGGUGAGGUAACCUUUAUGGAG